GACGUAGGGCGCGAGCGUUGUCCGGAUUUAUUGGGCGUAAAGAGCUCGUAGGCGGCUUGUCGCGUCGGCUGUGAAAUCCCGUGGCUCAACUGCGGGUCUGCAGCCGAUACGGGCAGGCUAGAGUUCGGUAGGGGAGACUGGAAUUCCUGGUGUAGCGGUGAAAUGCGCAGAUAUCUGGAGGAACACCGGUGGCGAAGGCGGCAUCCUGGACCGGCAUUGACGCUGAUGAGCGAAAGCCAGGGGAGCAAACGGG
rnacentral:rRNA from 1 species